rnacentral:lncRNA from 1 species
GAUUAGCUAGAUGCUACGCUGUUUAUCUUGCUUUACGUAUCAUAUAUUUGGGUUGUAACACUUAUGUUUCGAUUUGAGUAUUUUAAUCAAUGACUUAUUCUCUAUUCUCUAACACGUUUCUUCUGCACACCUAUAUAUAACCCCAAAACUUGUCCAUAAAUCUCCAACCUCAAGAGUCUUCACUGCCACUACCUUUCUCCAACUCUUCUUAGUUCCUCCUACUACCAUGCUACCAUAUCCUUUGCCUGAGAUUUUGUUGCUGGAGUUGAAGCUACUGAUUUAUAGAACAAUGACUUAUUUUUGUGUUCAUCAUCG